CCAGCUCCAAUAGCGUAUAUUAAAGUUGUUGCAGUUAAAAAGCUCGUAGUUGAAUUUCUGAGCUGUUCUGGUGUUUCCGCUUCGGUGUGAAACGCCGGUCAGUUCAUCCUUGUGAAGUAGUGCGUGAAAGCGUAUUAUUUCACAUCCUUUACUGUGAAAAAAUUAGAGUGUUUAAAGCAGGCUUGUUGCUUGAAUACAUUAGCAUGGAAUAAUAAGAUAGGACUUUGGUGCUAUUUUGUUGGUUGCGCAUUGAAGUAAUGGUUAAUAGGGACAGUUGGGGGUAUUCAUAUUUAACUGUCAGAGGUGAAAUUCUUGGAUUUGUUAAAGAUGAACAACUGCGAAAGCAUUUACCAAGGAUGUUUUCA
rnacentral:rRNA from 1 species